rnacentral:rRNA from 1 species
AGCGAACGCUGGCGGCAGGCCUAAUACAUGCAAGUCGAACGAAGCCUUCGGGCUUAGUGGCGGACGGGUGAGUAACACGUGGGAACGUACCCUUUGGUUCGGAACAACUCAGGGAAACUUGAGCUAAUACCGAAUGUGCCCCCAUCCUUAACAAGAUGGGUGGGAAAGAUUUAUCGCCAUUGGAGCGGCCCGCGUCUGAUUAGCUAGUUGGUGAGGUAAAGGCCCACCAAGGCUACGAUCAGUAGCUGGUCUGAGAGGAUGAUCAGCCACACUGGGACUGAGACACGGCCCA